UUAAAGUUGUUGCAGUUAAAAAGCUCGUAGUUGAACCUUGGGCCUGGUUGGUCGGUCCGCCUCACCGCGUGCACUGAUCCGACCGGGUCUUUCCUUCUGGGGAGCCGCAUGCCCUUCACUGGGUGUGUCGGGGAACCAGGACUUUUACUUUGAAAAAAUUAGAGUGUUCAAAGCAGGCCUAUGCUCGAAUACAUUAGCAUGGAAUAAUA
rnacentral:rRNA from 1 species